GUGGUGCGGCCCUGCCCGCGCCUGCGCCAAGCGCGCGGCGAGCGCGGGGGCUGCCGGGAAGGGGCGGUGGCGGGGCGGUUCCGGUGCGGGCGGAGCGGGCGCUCCCCGGGGGCGCGGGGCGGGAUUCCCCGCACACACACACACACACGUGGGGACGGGAGGUCCCGCCCGGGCCUGGCCCGAGCCCCCGUAACGGGCGGCUGUUCCCGGUCAAUGACGGCGGUUCCCGGCAGAGACCCAGAGCCGCGCUGCGGGGUAAGGACCCGCUUUCCCGGUAGCGGCCGUCGCUCAAGGUAACGGCGGUAGCUGGUAAAGGACCCCACGACCGCACCGGCGGCUCCCGGGUGAGUCUGGGAGGCCGGUCAGGGCUCUGGGUCCCGCCAGCUCCCCGGGAGAGCUCUGACCCGGGGCCUGCGGGGAGAGCGGGGAACCCCCCGGCGUGCGGGAGUCCCCGGCCGGCCCUCUCUGUCCCCUCCCCGCUGCCACAGGGACACGAAGGAGCGCACUGCAUUUGCGGCCACACUAAAGACCAGAGUCACAUCAAACCAUCUGCAAGUCACCUCCCUUGCCUUUCUGGACCAUCCACAGCACAGCCUGGGAAGAAUUUCUGCCUGUGAUUCUCAGAGGUAUCUAGUCAGUUCCCAGAGCUCAGUUCCUGGUGAAGAUGUGCCAGGCAUCUUCCAAAGGAAUUUGCUGCCUCUUACCAUGUACUGCAGCUGGGAUUCAGAGACAGUUUUCCUAGUUUGUGUAGUAACUCCCAGCAUAGAAGCGCAUGAACUGCCAUCAGCACAAAUUGUCAUAAACCAAAGGAUAAAAUCCACAGACUGGGAACUGUGCUGGAGAGGUAGCUUCAGGUCUAUAAAAUUGUGAGUGUGGGUGUGUGACAGAUCUUAAAUACUGAAUAUAAACAUUAGUAUUUACGCUGGAGGUUGGAAAUAGACUCCUUCAAAGGCAAAGCCACAGGUGGCUCGGGUAAGAUGGAGCAACUUUUCCCGUAAGACCUGGAACAGUGUGAAGGACAACUUUGGCAGGAUCUAUCCUAAAGCUGUUUUGUCUUGUUUUCCUUCUUUGUUUUUUUCUUCUUUUCUUUCAAAGAGCAGGGAGCCUGGGGUAGUUCUUUUGCUGUUUUUGAACGCUGCACACUGAAGCGGGAGCUCAAGUAUAAGACAAAGACUGUUUUUAAAAUGGUUAGGUUUUACUGCCUGGUGAUAUUUUUUCAAAGUACAUUUACUGAAGAUUUAUGUAAAAUCUAUCUUUUGUCUACUUAAAAUAUGUGAAAUGGAUGUACAGGGCAAAAUUUAAUGCAUAUGGGUUUUCAUUAUUUUAAAUCAUUUGC
rnacentral:lncRNA from 1 species